rnacentral:rRNA from 1 species
CCCUUAGAUGUUCUGGGCUGCACGCGCGCUACACUGAAGCGUUCAACGAGUAUUUCACCUUGCCCGGGAGGGUUGGGUAAUCUUUUUAAAACGCUUCGUGAUGGGGAUAGAUUAUUGCAAUUAUUAAUCUUCAACGAGGAAUUCCUAGUAAGUGCAAGUCAACAGCUUGCGUUGAUUACGUCCCUGCCCUUUGUACACACCGCCCGUCGCUACUACUGAUUGGAUGUUUAAGCGAGGUUCUCGAACUGCUAGUGACUGAUCUUCGGUGAGGUCGCAGUGUGGGAAGUGAACCUAGCUUUGGUGUCUAGAGGAAGUAAAAGUCGUAACA